rnacentral:tRNA from 1 species
GGUGGGGUACCCAAGCGGCCAACGGGGCCUGACUGUAAAUCAGGUGGCUCAGCCUUCGGAGGUUCGAACCCUCCCCCCACCACGA